rnacentral:lncRNA from 1 species
UUUUGCAGAACGAAUUCUCCUCAAAAUCUUGUUUUCUCUGAAAAAAAUGUCGUCCUUCUACCAUUAUUCGCUUUUGCCUUUAGCCUAAUUCGUAUUUUCUCGUCAUCAAUAGUGGAGAAGAAAAUUCUGGAAGUUGCAACAAUUAUUUUGGGUAUGUUCUUCUUAUAAUUUUUCUUUUUUGUGUAUUUCUUUUUUUAUUUUCUUACUAUUUAUUUAAGGUACGUAGUUUUCCUUUGUUUGUAGAUGAAAAUCUAGCUGGGUUCGUCUUCCUUUAGCUCCAUAUAAGGUAUGUUCUCGUUUCUGUACAUGCAUGAAAAUAUAUCUACGUUUACAUAUUCAUGGUUCAUGAGGUUGAAGGUCAUGAAUUUUCGCCGUUUCGAAGCUGGUGAGGAAUCAACUAUCAUCAUUCAUAGCCAACUUCAACAAUUU